rnacentral:RNase_P_RNA from 1 species
GCUCUGGCGUUCAAAUUGCAUGUGAGAAAUUCGGAGAAACUCCCGAGACCUUUGCCCGAUCACCUGCGCCCCUUCGGGGUGCGGGUUGUUUUGACGGCCUGCCGGCGACGGCACGGGGCGAACUCGCCUCCGCAGUUGGCAUCAGAAAAGCAGGGCGCUGGCUGUCCUCGUGUAUAACCCGCAAGGGGGAAGAUGGGGUUCCAGUCCAGCGUUCCUCUGGGAGCGUCACUGCCGGGAUUGCUUGUGACAACAAGCUGAAGUGCGAUGGGUGGCGUGUCGUCUCCUUUCCCUUGUGGAAAGGGGCCUCAUCAUUCAAUUCCGAUCACUCUUUGGGC